GGGCCUGUAGCUCAGUACGGUAGAGCGGUGGGCUCUUAACCCAUUGGCCAAGGGUUCAAAUCCCUUCAGGCCCGCCA
rnacentral:tRNA from 1 species